UUUAUUCAGCUAGAAAAUUACUUGAAUGCUAGCAGUAGCUGGCACGCACUUCAUGUAUGACCUUGGCCUAAUCCCUUAAUCACUGUGUGUCUCUGUUUCCUCCUUUACAAAAGAAGAUAGUAAUGCUGGAGUCAGAAAUGUCUUAGCACUUAUGGAACUGUGAGUUGCUGAGGCAUGUUACUAUAUUAAGUCUUAAAUAAUGCCAUAUAUUUAUGACUACACUUGAGCAGACCACACAUGUAAGUGACUGACAAUGCCUUUGGAAAUUAGGCCACAUAGGGUCAACACAGAUUGAUCUCUGUAGAGUGUUAUAUUGAGCAAUUACCAUCAUUUUUGCUGAGUAUUUACCUGAAAAUUAAAACCUGGCUUUAAAAGAGAAAAUGUCAGCACAAUUACUAGAAUAAUGUCAGGGACACAUGGAUAACAGAAAAAUGUGCCAAGGGUAGCAAGAAUCAGGGACUGGGUUGCAGACAGAGAUUCUGAGAUGUGUUGUAAAGGACACCCUGCUUGAGACAGCUUCUCAACAAGAAGGCAUUGCAGGUGUUCUCAAAAGGUUUUAAUUCUCUUGGAAAAGAAGUCACUUUUAGCUAGGAUUCCAGAAAAUUGUCUCACAAUGGGAAAAUCCUAAGUGUUUUUUCACUUACAGCUCCAAAAAGAAUAACAUUUAUUACUGCCUUUAUAUCAUAUUCAGGCUGGUGUUUUCUAUAGAGUUUUAGCUGAUAGCAGGACAAAUGUCAUGGGCACUCUUAAUGGCACUGUGCGAUAGUAAGGAUUGAAAGCUUCAGACUGGAAUAAUUGGACUUUUGUUAUAGAAAAUACAAAACUGACCAAAAAUCAAGCUGAAAUACACCUACAAUUCAAACAAAACAAGAAGACUUGGAUUCCUUCAUAUUUUUUUAAUUGAUACAGCAACUAGAAGCCAGGAUAACUGAUGUUUUUGUUAGCUAUCUGCCUACUUCGGUGUACAUGCCAAGCUGAUGUUCCUAAAAAUAUCACUCCUCUGUAGUAAAUAGAUCAGAGUGUGAUAUAAGCAGGCCCUGAACACCUCCAUAAAUUUAAGGGAGUAGUUUAUGCUGAAGACCAGAGUUGUGCCCAGUGAAAUAAAACUGUUAGGUUAUUUAUGGAUUAUUUAUUUUUUUGCUUUAACACUCUUAUCCCUGCCACCCCCACAAUAACCUAGAUGAAAACACUGAAAGUACCGACUCCUCCAAACCCAAAAGAUGAAUAAUUCCAUACAUUUCUCUUUUUAGGAUGAAUAUUAUACUUCUAAAAAAAAAGUUACUAAAUGUUUGCUACACAUUUCAAAGCAGUGAGGUAAAAUAUUACAGAAGCUUUCUUGCUAUAUCAGAAAUGCAAUCGUGAAAAGCUUUUUGGAUUUAAAUCCUCCUACAUUACCAUAGUCUCUUCUUAGGCACUCCACUGUUGCACAAGCCUGGGGAGCACAAACAUAGUGUCAGCGUCUUGACUUUCCAAAAGUAGGUGCCAGCCUUUGCAGGCCCGGCAAUCAGCAAACAUUCCCGUGCUGCUGCACAGCCAGGUGUGUUUACGAGGUGGUUCUGACGCAAGCCUGCAGCAGGAGCUGGGUGAGAGGUUUCCUCUUUGGGAGGCCAGCUCCUGCAAUGACGCGUCCGUGUGGUGAGCACACGAGUGACGCUGACGUGACAAAAAUGCCAGUGACAUGCUGGUGUUUACUGGGAACGGGGCUGAGUCAUUGCUCAGCUUGGAGGACUCCUCCUUAGCAGAGCCUCAGCUUCCUGGAAGCUUCUUCCUCAGUCAGCUACCCUCAGAACUGACUACAGAAGAGCGUGUUUUUCAGAGAUCUGCAAAUACUCUGAAAUUAUCUUUUCUUCUUCCUGAAAUUAUUGCUCAAAAUCAUACGCAUUACAGUGCUUUUUCCUAAGUAAACUCACUUAUGUGGGUUUUGGUUUUUUUUGGUUUUGGAAUGCUUUUUAUUUCAAAUUUACUUUUUUGAUGUUCUAGGCUGAAGAGUGAGAAGUAAGUAAACUUUGUAGCAGUUAACUACUUUCUACCUCAGUUUAGCUUCAGUUGUAUCACUACUUAGGACAGAAAAUAGAAAUUAAGCUGCCCUUACUCAUGUCCCUUCUACCUCCAACUGCCAAGGGAAGACAGAAGUUAGGCAAGAGUUCGCUAUUUCAGGCUGCUAGCUCUACCCUGUCUCCGGGUACCAUAGGCAACAGCAAUAAAUCUUGAUCCAAGACAAGUGGAAGGAAAGAUCAGUGACUCAGAUCACAGGACUUCUUGCUGUUUUAAUGGCACACACUACGUUGUGACUUUCUGAAUCAGAAGGUUAAUUAAGAUUUGGUAUUUGUUCCUCAUAGUUCUACUCAGUUGUUAAAAGAGUAAAACACAUGUAGUCCUAUCAAGCAUUUGAUGUGUCUCCCUAAAGUCCAAUGAAGAUUAUUAAUUAAUUUGAAUUAUUUUGUUGAUGAGAGGACUUAAAAUAAGAAGGAAGUGUAUUUAUGACAAAAUGAUUCUUCUGUAUUGUGGGAUUAAAAAAAUCCAUUUUAGAGUUUUAUUGAAAAGACUGUUUUACAUACUUAAAAGCUUACUAAUGCCUUUCACUAUUCUUGUAAUGAAAUUAUGCCAUAUUCACCACCAUUGAAUAUCAUGACACACAAAAAGAAACAGUCUCAAGCUUUUAAAAUCUGCAUUUCUAGAUUAAUUGCUAAUUGAAAAGAACUACAUCGUCACACAAACCAGGAAAAAUAAUCAGAAUAGUGUGGUAGAGCAUGGCAAAAUUCAAUAAUAGCACUGUCCUAGGGCACAUGAGAAGGGCACAAGAAGAAAGUGUUAUCAUUUACUACUGUAAAGAGGGAAAGUUCCUUGCCCCGAUGAUGACACUUAGGGAAAAUGGGAAAGUGAUGUAUUUCUGAUGGUUUGUUUGAUCAGAAAGUUAACAUUCUGCAAUCUCAAUUGAGCUUGGAGAGUUGGGUUUGUAUGAAAGGUGCCAUUCAAACAAAUUAAAUCUAUAGUUUGUUUAGAAUUGUUCUAGCAAUGUGAAACCAGGUUUCUGCAGAUCUUCCAGUCUAUACUUCUGCAAGGAAAGAAUGUACAUUCCUUAAGGACUUUAUUAGAGGCAACAAAAUGUGUACCAAGUUUUCUCUUCAUUAAUUUUUAUUGAUAAAUGAAGAUCACAUUGUGAAUAUAUUGGGAUUUGCCCUCUGUUGUAACCUUUGAAUUUACUACCAGGCUUCAAAUGGUAUUAAAUAGAACUGGCUGAAAAUGGGGUACUGAUUCUGCAAACAGGGUAGCUUUUCAUUCUCUGCCCAUUGCUAGUGAAUGCAGUAAAUGAUGCUGUGGGGAUUCCUCCUAUUUUCUUAGCUUUUGUUUUCAUUUUGUUGAUUUUUUUUUAAAACUUCCUUAACAGAAAUUUUUUUUUUUAAAUACCAGAAAUAACCCCUAAAGAUCAAAGACCUGAAAUUCAUUCUGUUAUGUUGAAUGUGAGGAAAACAAUGAGAAACUCAACAAAGACAUUAAAAACAAAUUGACACAUUCCUGUUUAGGGAAGAUCUUAGAAGAAGCAGGUUGUGAAAGAGAAAUUCUUGUGUCUCACAUGUCCUUAGAGUAAGCUGUACUAGAUUAAACAGCACUUCUAGUGGGAGAAAGUUGUGGAUAUACAGUUAUAAAUGUUCCAAACACCAUCUUUGCUCACUACAUUUCAAACUAUGACCCAGGCCAAUUAAGGAGACCUUUUUGAUCUGAUAGUGGAUAGCUUUGUGGUAGAGCUGCAUUUUUGUAAGAGAAUAAUAAGUGGCCAUGGAAGAAAAUUGGUAUAAUUAUCAGAUCAUUUGCCUAAGAGCUUUCAGUUAACUAUCUAACACAAACAUAAGGGAAACUACAACUUACUUCUUUUUUAAAGGCAUGGCUAUUAGCAUAUUCUUUUAAAGUUUCAUCACCUGUGUUUAACUCCUUAGGAGUUCAGAGAUCCACCUGAUGAGUGAGUAGCACAGGAGAAACUAUUCAUAUCCAUUUUUCUUUUUGUACCCAACAUUUUACCCAUUUUGGACCCACUGACUUAUGCUGGUAAAAUUGAAUAUCCAUGAAGAGGCCACAGAUUACUCCCACAAGUGCAUAGGAUUUGAUAUUUCAGUUCCUGUGCCCCUGGUACCAAUACCUCAAAAAAUGGAGUCAGCUGUAAAGUAGUUCCAGUCCAAUUCCAGCCCAAGUUGCCACAGCUAAGCUUUUAAUACCAGUGUUCUGAUUGACUCUAAGUUAUAUAAAGUAAGACACUAGCAUUAUUUUCUUAUCCAAGCAUAUUGCAUGUGCUUUUUCUCUCAGUCAGUUUUCUGUGUUACAAGGUUAUAUUUUUGUCCUGUAAAACCUACUGUAAAAGCUCUUUGGGGCUUUUCUGUAUGUAAAAUUUCUGUGUAAACACUGGUCUCAGUGGACAAAGGUAACUUAUUAAAGUGAUGAAGUAUUGUGUGUCAA